rnacentral:rRNA from 1 species
GACGAACGCUGGCGGCGUGCCUAAUACAUGCAAGUCGAACGAAGCUGUUUUAACUGGUGCUUGCACCGACUUAAACAACUGAGUGGCGAACGGGUGAGUAACACGUGGGUAACCUGCCCCAAAGCGGGGGAUAACAUUGGGAAAAAGAUGCUAAUACCGCAUAACCACAGAAACCACAUGUUUCUGUGUCAGAGAUGGUUUCGGCUAUCACUUUGGGAUGGAGCCGCGGCGUAUUAGCUAGUUGGUAAGGUAAUGGCUUACCAAGGCAAUGAUACGUAGCCGAACUGAGAGGUUGAUCGGCCACAUUGGGACUGAGACACGGCCCAAACUCCUACGGGAGGCAGCAGUAGGGAAUCUUCCACAAUGGACGAAAGUCUGAUGGAGCAACGCCGCGUGAGUGAAGAAGGUUUUCGGAUCGUAAAACUCUGUUGUCAGAGAAGAACGUGUGCGAGAGUAACUGUUCGUGCAGUGACGGUAUCUGGCCAGAAAGCCACGGCUAACUACGUGCCAGCAGCCGCCGUAAAAC